AUUGAACGCUGGCGGCAGGCUUAACACAUGCAAGUCGAGCGGAGGUGAGGUGCUUGCACCUUAUCUUAGCGGCGGACGGGUGAGUAAUGCUUAGGAAUCUGCCUAUUAGUGGGGGACAACAUUCCGAAAGGAAUGCUAAUACCGCAUACGUCCUACGGGAGAAAGCAGGGGAUCUUCGGACCUUGCGCUAAUAGAUGAGCCUAAGUCGGAUUAGCUAGUUGGUGGGGUAAAGGCCUACCAAGGCGACGAUCUGUAGCGGGUCUGAGAGGAUGAUCCGACACACUGGGAUUGAGACACGGACCCGACGCCUACGGGAGGCAGCAGUGGGGAAGAUUGGGCAAUGGGGGGAACCCCGAUACAGCCAUGCCGCGUGUGUGAAGAAGGCCUUAUGGUUGUAAAGCACUUUAAGCGAGGAGGAGGCUACUGAGACUAAUACUCUUGGAUAGUGGACGUUACUCGCAGAAUAAGCACCGGCUAACUCUGUGCUAGCCGCCGCAGUAAUAC
rnacentral:rRNA from 1 species